rnacentral:rRNA from 1 species
GACGUAGGGCGCGAGCGUUGUCCGGAUUUAUUGGGCGUAAAGAGCUCGUAGGCGGCUUGUCACGUCGGGUGUGAAAGCCCGGGGCUUAACCCCGGGUCUGCAUUCGAUACGGGCUAGCUAGAGUGUGGUAGGGGAGAUCGGAAUUCCUGGUGUGGCGGUGAAAUGCGCAGAUAUCAGGAGGAACACCGGUGGCGAAGGCGGAUCUCUGGGCCAUUACUGACGCUGAGGAGCGAAAGCGUGGGGAGCGAACAGG